rnacentral:rRNA from 1 species
AUGAUUAGCUCCAAUAUUCUUGUUUGGAAUGUGAGGGAACUGAACAACCCAGCUUGCCGUGGGGUUGUCAGAAGAGUUGUUUUACUGCAUAAUCCUGCGAUUAUCUGCUUGCAAGAAUCAAAGCUAUCUGUUGUAGACCGGCCAACCAUCAGUCAAAUUUGUGGCCCUAGAUGCACUGAAUUCCUUUUUCAGCCUGCCAUUGGAACAAGGGGUGGAAUCAUUAUUGCUUGGGAUCCUGAGGUUGUGGAUGUUGCACUUAUUGAUUGCCAAAAGUCGUUUGUUGCUGUGGACUGCUGCUGGAGACUGACGGAUUCGAGAUUCAGACUUGUCACGGUGUAUGGACCUCAGUCUGAUGCAGAUAAACUGAUAUUCUUGGAUGACUUGAGACCGCUGUACUCCUCAAAUUUGCCUUGCAUUUUCACUGGGGACUUCAACCUUAUUGCCGAGGCCACUGACAAGAACAACAACAACUUGAACAGAAGAACAAUGGCUGCAUUCAGAAGAUUUAUCAACGAACUUGAGCUGCGAGAGAUGUACUUGCAUGGAAGAAAAUACACUUGGACCAACGAGCAGCAGAACGCAACAAAGGUCAAAUUGGACAGGGUUCUCUUCAAUGACCCGUGGAUGUUGGCAUAUCCUUGCUGCAUCCUUGCCGCUCUUGCUACGGAUCUUUCCGAUCACUGCCCCUUGCUACUUUCAACUGAUGCAACCUUUCAGCCACCGAGACACUUCCGAUUUGAUAAUUACUGGACUACUUUUGGGGGCUUCUCCCAGGUGGUCCUCGAUUGCUGGUCGCAGCCCACAAUGUGUUCCGACCCUUACCUCAGGUUGCACUGCAAACUUACUAGAACAGCCAGGUCCCUAAGGAAAUGGAGCUCUACCCACAUUGGUGAUCUCAGGCUUUGCGCUGCAAUCUCUAGUGAGCUGAUCGGUAUGUUCGAUGCUGCUCUAGAUGACAGAGACCUAACCGAUGGGGAGAGACAGCUAAGGUCUGCCCUCAAGAUGAAUCUGCUGGGGAUUGUAGCUAUGCAGCGUGCUCACAGCCGACAACGGUCGAGGAUUGACUGGUUAAAAGAUGGUGACACUAACACAGCAUUCUUCCAAGCCAAGGCAUCGGCUAGACGCCAAAAAAUUUUUGUGCUAAGUUUAACGCACAAUGAUAGGGUGCUCAUUGCUCAAGAGGAUAAGUUGAAUGCGGUUUGGGAGCACUUCUCCUCUGUUUUGGGGUCUAAAACUCAGAGAGGCUGCAGUAUUAAUUUCAACGCCCUUGGGAUUGCCCCCGUCGAUCUAUCAAGUAUUGAGAGUGCUUUUACAGAAGAAGAGGUGAAGGCUGCGGUUAUGGACAUGAACCCCAGGAAAGCCCCCGGGCCCAAUGGCUACACUGCACUGUUUUUCCAGAGUUGUUGGGACAUUAUAAAGAAAAAGGCCAGAUGCACAAGAAGCAAGAGACUACAGACCAAUCAGUUUGCUUUCGUUCUUUGCUAA